rnacentral:rRNA from 1 species
GUCUACAGCCAUGCCACCCUGAAUGUGCCUGAUCUCCUCUGAUCUCAGAAGCUAACCAGAGUGGGGCCUGGUUAGUACUUGGAUGGGAGACCACCUAGGAAGACCAGGUGCUGUAGGCG